rnacentral:rRNA from 1 species
GACGAACGCUGGCGGCGUGCCUAAUACAUGCAAGUCGAACGCACAGUUUAUACCGUAGCUUGCUACACCAUAGACUGUGAGUUGCGAACGGGUGAGUAACGCGUAGGUAACCUGCCUGGUAGCGGGGGAUAACUAUUGGAAACGAUAGCUAAUACCGCAUAAUAUUGAUUAUUGCAUGAUAAUUGAUUGAAAGAUGCUAUUGCAUCACUACCAGAUGGACCUGCGUUGUAUUAGCUAGUAGGUGAGGUAACGGCUCACCUAGGCGACGAUACAUAGCCGACCUGAGAGGGUGAUCGGCCACACUGGGACUGAGACACGGCCCAGACUCCUACGGGAGGCAGCAGUAGGGAAUCUUCGGCAAUGGACGAAAGUCUGACCGAGCAACGCCGCGUGAGUGAAGAAGGUUUUCGGUUCGUAAAGCUCUGUUGUAAGAGAAGAACGGGUGUGAGAGUGGAAAGUUCACACUGUGACGGUAUCUUACCAGAAAGGGACGGCUAACUACGUG